GACGAACGCUGGCGGCGUGCCUAAUACAUGCAAGUAGAACGCACAGUUUAUACCGUAGCUUGCUACACCAUAGACUGUGAGUUGCGAACGGGUGAGUAACGCGUAGGUAACCUGCCUGGUAGCGGGGGAUAACUAUUGGAAACGAUAGCUAAUACCGCAUAAUAUUAAUUAUUGCAUGAUAAUUAAUUGAAGGGUGCAAUUGCACCACUACCAGAUGGACCUGCGUUGUAUUAGCUAGUAGGUGAGGUAACGGCUCACCUAGGCGACGAUACAUAGCCGACCUGAGAGGGUGAUCGGCCACACUGGGACUGAGACACGGCCCAGACUCCUACGGGAGGCAGCAGUAGGGAAUCUUCGGCAAUGGACGAAAGUCUGACCGAGCAACGCCGCGUGAGUGAAGAAGGUUUUCGGAUCGUAAAGCUCUGUUGUAAGAGAAGAACGGGUGUGAGAGUGGAAAGUUCACACUGUGACGGUAUCUAC
rnacentral:rRNA from 1 species